rnacentral:rRNA from 1 species
UUAACGGCCGCGGUAUUUUGACCGUGCGAAGGUAGCGCAAUCACUUGUCUUUUAAAUGGAGACCUGUAUGAAUGGCAUAACGAGGGCUUAGCUGUCUCCUCUUUCAAGUCAAUGAAAUUGAUCUCCCCGUGCAGAAGCGGGGAUAAUCUCGUAAGACGAGAAGACCCUAUGGAGCUUUAGACACCAAAGCAGAUCAUGUUAAACACCCUUAAAUAAAAGAUUAAACAAGAUGAAACCUGCCCUAAUGUCUUUGGUUGGGGCGACCGCGGGGAAACACAAAACCCCCACGUGGAAUGGGACUACCCGUCCUACAGCUACAGAGCUCCCGCUCUAAGCAACAGAAUUUCUGACCAACAAGAUCCGGCUAAAGCCGAUCAACGGACCGAGUUACCCUAGGGAUAACAGCGCAAUCCUCUUUUAGAGCCCAUAUCGACAAGAGGGUUUACGACCUCGAUGUUGGAUCAGGACAUCCUAAUGGUGCAGCCGCUAUUAAGGGUUCGUUUGUUCAACGAUUAAAGUCCU